rnacentral:rRNA from 2 species
AGAGUUUGAUCAUGGCUCAGAAUGAACGCUGGCGGCGUGCCUAACACAUGCAAGUCGAACGAGAAAGAGCUUCGGCUCAAGUACAGUGGCGAACGGGUGAGUAACACGUGGGAAUCAACCCUUUAGUGAAGGACAUCCUCGAGAAAUCGAGAGCAAUCCUGCAUAAGUCCCUUCGGGGAGAAAGAUGGCCUCUUUGCUGUCGCUAAAGGACGAGCCUGCGCGCUAUCAGCUAGUUGGUAGGGUAAUGGCCUACCAAGGCUUUGACGGCUAGCCGGCCUGAGAGGGUGUACGGCCACACUGGAACUUAGACACGGUCCAGACUCCUACGGGAGGCAGCAGUGGGGAAUAUUGCGCAAUGGGCGAAAGCCUGACGCAGCGACGCCGCGUGGAGGAUGAAGGUCUUCGGAUUGUAAACUUCUGUUAGGUGGGAAGAAAUGCACAGUUCUAAUAAAACUGUGAGAUGACGGUACCAUCAAAGAAAGCACCGGCUAACUUCGUGCCAGCAGCCGCGGUAAUACGAAGGGUGCGAGCGUUAUUCGGAGUGAUUGGGCGUAAAGGGUGCGUAGGCGGUGCGUUAAGUCAACUGUCAAAUUUCCCAGCUUAACUGGGAGCAGGCGGUUGAAACUAGCGUGCUUGAGGGUGGAAGAGAGAAGUGGAAUUCUCGGAGUAGCGGUAAAAUGCGUAGAUCUCGAGAGGAACACCGAUGGCGAAGGCAGCUUCUUGGUCCAUACCUGACGCUGAUGCACGAAAGCGUGGGGAGCAAACAGGAUUAGAUACCCUGGUAGUCCACGCUGUAAACGAUGAUCACUAGACGUUGGUUCCGCUCUGCGGGAUCAGUGUCGUAGCUAACGCGUUAAGUGAUCCGCCUGGGGAGUACGGUCGCAAGAUUAAAACUCAAAGGAAUUGACGGGGGUCCGCACAAGCGGUGGAACAUGUGGUUUAAUUCGAUACUACGCGAGGAACCUUACCUGGACUUGACAUGUACUUGACCGCCGUAGAAAUACGGUUUUUCAGGCGAAAGCUUGGACGGGUACACAGGUGCUGCAUGGCUGUCGUCAGCUCGUGUCGUGAGAUGUUGGGUUAAGUCCUUUAACGAGCGCAACCCCUGCCAUCAGUUGCUACUCCUUUGGAGGCACUCUGAUGGGACUGCCUAGGAAACUAGGAGGAAGGUGGGGAUGACGUCAAGUCCGCAUGGUCCUUAUGUCCAGGGCAACACACGUGUUACAAUGGGUAGUACAGAGCGUUGCAAGCCUGAGAAGGCAAGCUAAUCGCAGAAAGCUACUCUAAGUUCGGAUUGAGGUCUGCAAUUCGACCUCAUGAAGCUGAAAUCGCUAGUAAUCGCAUAUCAGAACGAUGCGGUGAAUACGUUCUCGGACCUUGUACACACCGCCCGUCACACCACGAAAGCUGUUUGUACCCGAAAUCAUUUUAGCUAACCUUAAACGGAGGCGGAUGCUGAAGGUAUGGAGAGUGAUUGGGGUGAAGUCGUAACAAGGUAGCCG